GAUGAACGCUGGCGGCGUGCCUAAUACAUGCAAGUCGAGCGAACAGACGAGGAGCUUGCUCCUCUGACGUUAGCGGCGGACGGGUGAGUAACACGUGGAUAACCUACCUAUAAGCCUGGGAUAACUUCGGGAAACCGGAGCUAAUACCGGAUAAUAUAUUGAACCGCAUGGUUCAAUAGUGAAGGACGGUUUUGCUGUCACUUAUAGAUGGAUCCGCGCCGCAUUAGCUAGUUGGUAAGGUAACGGCUUACCAAGGCAACGAUGCGUAGCCGACCUGAGAGGGUGAUCGGCCACACUGGAACUGAGACACGGUCCAGACUCCUACGGGAGGCAGCAGUAGGGAAUCUUCCGCAAUGGGCGAAAGCUUGACGGAGCAACGCCGCGUGAGUGAUGAAGGUCUUCGGAUCGUAAAACUCUGUUAUUAGGGAAGAACAAAUGUGUAAGUAACUAUGCACGUCUUGACGGUACCUAAUCAGAAAGCCACGGCUAACUACGUG
rnacentral:rRNA from 1 species